rnacentral:lncRNA from 1 species
AACACAACAAUUAGGCCACACCAAUUUGAUUCCUUGUUCGACGGACCCGCCCGCACCUAUUUUUUUCAAAACAGAAUUUUUUUAUUUUUUUAUAUUCCCGCUUCCCGCAUCCGGAAAUGUAAUCAUGUCUAUUUCCCGCACCGUUUUUUUUUGUAAAUAUUAUAAAAAGAUAUCAACAUUGGUUUCUUUCCCCCCUUACUUAUAUUCCCUAUCAAAACAUGUUCGUUGUUAAAAUAAAGUACAAAGAACUUCUGAAGGAUUUGCCUUCAACUGCAAUUAUAUUGUAUGCUGGCAAAACAAAACUAUCUAUAGCCGCUGCAUGUUUAUGCACCUGUCCUGAUUGAUUCAGGGGCCUGUCGUUCAGCAGUUAUCGUUUGUUGAUGUUGUUCAUUGGUAUUUUCCCGUUUGGAUAUAUAAAUUAGAUCGUUGGUUUUCCUGUUCGAAUUGUGUACGCUAAUAAUUUUGGGAUCCUUUAUAGCUUGCUGUUUGGUCUUUAUCAAAGCCCUGUGUAAAAGGCCGUACUUUGACCUGUGUUUGUUAUUGUCAGAUUGAGAACAACCCUCCCUCAGACAAGGGGUCAUUUUACUGAUGUAGAAAAGAAAAUAGAAAUACCAAGGAUUUGUAUAGUUCUUCUAUACAAAACCUUUGAAAACUUAAAAUUUGGUACUCAAAAAGAGGAGAGUUACAUCAUAUUUUAAACAACUUUUUCUGAAAGAGGGGUCCACUUAUUUUGAAUAAUAUUAAACUGUUAAAGUAAAUGUGUUAAUUUAACAUGGUUAUAGUCCAGGAAUAUUACAAAAUUCUUGGACAUGUUUUGACCAUUUAAUACUAGAUAGAUAUAUAGUUCUUUUAGAAAAUAUGAGCCCUUUUGUACAAACAAAUAUAUUAUAACUUAUAUUGAUCCCUCAUAAAACAUGUAAAAGGGAUAUUUAUAACAUUAAGGGGUUGCCCCCAAACUGAUUAUGACUUGGAUUGAGAAUUGUCUCAUUGUCAGUCACACAUACAUAAACCAGAUUAAAUUAUUUCUUGGUGAACAGGGAAAAAAUACUUCAGAAAUUAAAGAAAUGUCAAAGUACAAGUUAUAAAUCAAGUUUUAUUAUUGUCAAAACCUACUAUUUUAUGUUUACAAAAAAAAAAUAUAAUCGCUCGCCUUUACUUUUCAAGCUUCGCCUCAAAAAUUUGCAAAUUAAAUAUUUUUUUAUUAAAAUUUUCAAAUCGCUCGCUCGCCCCAUAUUUUGGAGUCCAAAAAUCCGUAGAACAAGAAAUUAAUUUGGUGUGGCCUU